UACGUAGGGUGCAAGCGUUAAUCGGAAUUACUGGGCGUAAAGCGUGCGCAGGCGGUGAUGUAAGACAGAUGUGAAAUCCCCGGGCUCAACCUGGGAACUGCAUUUGUGACUGCAUCGCUCGAGUCCGGGAGAGGGGGGUGGAAUUCCCAGUGUAGCGGUGAAAUGCGUAGAUAUUGGGAGGAACACCGGUGGUGAAGGCGGCCCCCUGGACCGGUACUGACGCUGAGGCGCGAAAGCGUGGGUAGCAAACGGG
rnacentral:rRNA from 1 species